UACGUAGGCUGCGAGCGUUGUUCGGAGUUACUGGGCGUAAAGGGUGUGUAGGCGGUUUUUUAAGUUUGGGGUGAAAUCUCCCGGCUCAACCGGGAGGGUGCGCCGAAAACUGGGAGACUAGAGUGCGGGAUGGGAGAGUAGAAUUCCUGGUGUAGCGGUGAAAUGCGUAGAUAUCAGGAGGAAUACCGGUGGUGUAGGCGGCUCUCUGGACCGCCACUGACGCUGAGACACGAAAGCGUGGGUAGCAAACAGG
rnacentral:rRNA from 1 species